rnacentral:rRNA from 1 species
GCAACGCGAAGAACCUUACCCACCUUUGACAUGGCAGGAACUUACCAGAGAUGGUUUGGUGCUCGAAAGAGAACCUGCACGCAGGUGCUGCAUGGCUGUCGUCAGCUCGUGUCGUGAGAUGUUGGGUUAAGUCCCGCAACGAGCGCAACCCUUGCCAUUAGUUGCUACAUUCAGUUGAGCACUCUAAUGGGACUGCCGGUGACAAACCGGAGGAAGGUGGGGAUGACGUCAAGUCCUCAUGGCCCUUAUAGGUGGGGCUACACACGUCAUACAAUGGCUGGUACAAAGGGUUGCCAACCCGCGAGGGGGAGCUAAUCCCAUAAAGCCAGUCGUAGUCCGGAUCGCAGUCUGCAACUCGACUGCGUGAAGUCGGAAUCGCUAGUAAUCGUGGAUCAGAAUGUCACGGUGAAUACGUUCCCGGGCCUUGUACACACCG